rnacentral:rRNA from 1 species
GACGAACGCUGGCGGCGUGCUUAACACAUGCAAGUCGAACGGAAAGGCCCUGCUUUUGUGGGGUGCUCGAGUGGCGAACGGGUGAGUAACACGUGAGUAACCUGCCCUUGACUUUGGGAUAACUUCAGGAAGCUGGGGCUAAUACCGGAUAGGAGCUCCUGCUGCAUGGUGGGGGUUGGAAAGUUUCGGCGGUUGGGGAUGGACUCGCGGCUUAUCAGCUUGUUGGUGGGGUAGUGGCUUACCAAGGCUUUGACGGGUAGCCGGCCUGAGAGGGUGGCCGGCCACAUUGGGACUGAGAUACGGCCCAGACUCCUACGGGAGGCAGCAGUGGGGAAUAUUGCACAAUGGGCGGAAGCCUGAUGCAGCAACGCCGCGUGCGGGAUGACGGCCUUCGGGUUGUAAACCGCUUUCGCCUGUGACGAAGCGUGAGUGACGGUAAUGGGUAAAGAAGCACCGGCUAACUACGUG